AAACGCUGCACUUGCACGCGGCACAAACCUCCUUCGUCUACCUCUAACGAGAGAGAGAGCGCAAGCUGGAGCGCUUCGGGUCUGACAGGUCCUACCCCUAGCCAAAUCUAGUCUAUUCCAUAUAUACAGACUACCCCUAGUUCAACCAGACCAAACCCUAAAAAUCCUCCACCUUGUCCCAACCCGCCACUGCCAUCAUCUCCCACCUCAGGAUCUCCUCCCGAUCCAUCCAGCCCAACCAGUCGCCUCGUUCUUCAAUUUCCCCACCGAACCAACCAGCGACGUGCCCUCGAUCCAAAAAAUCCCCUAUGCUUCACCCAAUCCUCAGCCGCCUUCCAUCCAUCCAUCCAGGAGCGCCGUUGUCCCCGAGCAGCAGCAUCGCGAGGCCAGCGGCCAGCCCCAGCCUCGCCCUCUCCUUCCUGUUGUGUUCUCUCUCUCCAUCAUGCUCUUCCCUUCCUGUGCUCUGCCUCGACAGGACCGACGACCUGCAGCUUGCUGCCUUGCCUGCCGGAGCUCCGCCGGAACUCGGCGCCUUGCCGGACACUACCGCCGCCGACGAACAGCAGGAGAGCAGCAAUAGCCAUGGGAGUGGCUCUGGGCUCGAGUCCAUCUCGCCGUCCCUAGGAAUCGGCUCCCUCGGCUGGAUCCACCGGAGCCUCGCUCGUCUCAAUUCCCCCGCCUGCGCGCCGCCCCUGGCCGACGCAUCAAGCCGCGCCGCCGUGCUCUGCUCCUGGCGUGUUCAAGAACGAGCGCCUUGACUCACCCUCCGCGUUGACCGGGCUAGUCCCAGCUCAGCUCGUGUGUGUGUCAUCCCUAUCUGGCGAGACGACGGACGAAAGCUGGAUCCGGCGAUGGGGACGGUCGACACUGGCGGGUCGACGGGGGCAGGGAGCGGCGCAGGGGCGCACGGAUGAUGCGGCGCAGCGCGAGCCGUUCGAGAUGGGGAGGAAAUCGCGGGCCGUUCAGGAUGGAGAGGAGCGCGCGUGAUCAACGACGCGCGUGCGUCCGGCCGAAGCGUUUUGCCGGCACACGGGUGGUAAACGUUUUCCAUAUUUGUUUUGUCUAUUUUUGUACUUGUUCUGCAAGCCAACAUCGACCGCUCUUAGUUCAGUUAGUUCUGGUGUGUGAAUUGAACACAUUCGGUUUCAAGUCACACUGGUCAGCCUACCACGUUUGCAUCCAAGGGAUCCUGGGUUUGCACAUAUUCGGUCGUCGCCUCGGCCGCCCGUCGAAACCACCAUGGAUGCAUCUCGCGUGGUCACUCCUCAAAAAGUUUCAACAGUGUAUAGAAAAGCUUCAACCGGUAAAAAAAAAGCUUCAACCAAAAACUUCAUGAGGAAAAGUAUGAUUUGCCUUGCA